CAGCAGAGGGUUGAUACCAUGCAGACCUCAGUUCUUACGGAGAAGGAUUUUUAAAAGGAAAUAUCAUUCCUCUCUGCAGCAGCAGUAAAUAGCUGGAAGUGCAGCAGGCAAUUGGCUUUAAAGGUCAAGAGAAAAUCCCACCCAGGCUUCCAGCUGCCAGGCAGCUUUCAGUGAACCUCAGCUUUAAGGCACUGCUCUUAUUUUGAUGCUGCAGCAUCAGUUUUGCGGAACGUUUUUUGAACAGAAGUUCUUCAAUAUGUGUGGCAGCACUCAAUCGUUUUCAGUGUGUCCUGCUUAAAGGAAGAAUGACGGCUGAUGAAUACAUCUUUCUAAAGAGAUAUGAAGUGACCAUAUUUACUGAACUGGAUCUUUUGAAGACUGAGAUAGUGAUGCUACAUUUUGCUUAUCAUUUUAAAAUGAAAUUAAACCAUGAAUCACU